AUCCAGCUGACUAGUCCCCGAUAGGACGAAACGCGCGUCAUGGAU
rnacentral:hammerhead_ribozyme from 1 species